CAAAGUGACAGGUGGUGCAUGGUUGUCGUCAGCUCGUGUCGUGAGAUGUUGGGUUAAGUCCCGCAACGAGCGCAACCCUUAAGCUUAGUUGCCAUCAUUAAGUUGGGCACUCUAAGUUGACUGCCGGUGACAAACCGGAGGAAGGUGGGGAUGACGUCAAAUCAUCAUGCCCCUUAUGAUUUGGGCUACACACGUGCUACAAUGGACAAUACAAAGGGCAGCUAAACCGCGAGGUCAAGCAAAUCCCAUAAAGUUGUUCUCAGUUCGGAUUGUAGUCUGCAACUCGACUACAUGAAGCUGGAAUCGCUAGUAAUCGUAGAUCAGCAUGCUACGGUGAAUACGUUCCCGGGUCUUGUACACACCGCCCGUCACACCACGAGAGUUUGUAACACCCGAAGCCGGUGGAGUA
rnacentral:rRNA from 1 species